UACGAAGGGGGCUAGCGUUGUUCGGAAUUACUGGGCGUAAAGCGUGCGCAGGCGGUUGUGCAAGACAGAGGUGAAAUCCCCGAGCUUAACUUGGGAACUGCCUUUGUGACUGCAUAGCUAGAGUGUGUCAGAGGGGGGUAGAAUUCCACGUGUAGCAGUGAAAUGCGUAGAGAUGUGGAGGAAUACCGAUGGCGAAGGCAGCCCCCUGGGAUAACACUGACGCUCAUGCACGAAAGCGUGGGGAGCAAACAGG
rnacentral:rRNA from 1 species